GUGUCAGCCGCCGCGGUAAGACGGAGGGUGCAAGCGUUGUUCGGAUUGACUGGGCGUAAAGGGCGUGUAGGCGGUUCGUUAAGUCGGGUGUGAAAGCCCGGGGCUCAGCUCCGGAAGUGCGCCCGAAACUGGCGAGCUGGAGCGCGGUAGAGGAGGGUGGAAUUCCUGGUGUAGCGGUGAAAUGCGUAGAUAUCAGGAGGAACACCGGCGGCGAAGGCGGCCCUCUGGACCGUUGCUGACGCUGAGACGCGAAAGCGUGGGGAGCAAACAGGAUUAGAUACCCUGGUAGUCCACGCUGUAAACGAUGGGUACUAGGUGUUCGGGGUGUUGACCCCCUGAGUGCCGACGCUAACGCAUUAAGUACCCCGCCUGGGGACUACGGCCGCAAGGUUAAA
rnacentral:rRNA from 1 species